rnacentral:tRNA from 1 species
GCCUGGGUGGCUCAGUCGGUUAAGCAUCUGACUUCAGCUCAGGUCAUGAUCUUGAGGUUCGUGAGAUCGAGCCCCAUGUCAGGCU